rnacentral:rRNA from 1 species
UACGAAGGGUGCAAACGUUGCUCGGAAUUAUUGGGCGUAAAGCGCACGUAGGCGGCUUGGCAAGUCGGAUGUGAAAUCCCUCGGCUCAACCAAGGAAGUGCAUCCGAAACUGCCGAGCUUGAGUACUUAAGAGGAUCGCGGAAUUCCCGGUGUAGAGGUGAAAUUCGUAGAUAUCAGGAGGAACACCGGUGGCGAAGGCGGGUCUCUGGGCCGAUACUGACGCUGAGGAGCGAAAGUGUGGGGAGCGAACAGG